UACGUAGGGGGCUAGCGUUGUCCGGAAUCAUUGGGCGUAAAGCGCGCGUAGGCGGCCACCGCAAGUCAAUUGUGAAAUCUCCGGGCUUAACUCGGAAAGGUCAACUGAUACUGCGGGGCUAGAGUGCGGAAGGGGCAACUGGAAUUCACGGUGUAGCAGUGAAAUGCGUAGAUAUCGUGAGGAAGACCGGUGGCGAAGGCGGGUCUCUGGACAGUAACUGACGCUGAGGCACGAAGGCCAGGGGAGCAAACGGG
rnacentral:rRNA from 1 species